rnacentral:rRNA from 1 species
UACGGAGGGGGCUAGCGUUGUUCGGAAUUACUGGGCGUAAAGCGCACGUAGGCGGCUUUGUAAGUUAGGGGUGAAAGCCUGGGGCUCAACUCCAGAACUGCCUUUAAGACUGCAUCGCUUGAAUCAUGGAGAGGCGGGUGGAAUUCCGAGUGUAGAGGUGAAAUUCGUAGAUAUUCGGAAGAACACCAGUGGCGAAGGCGGCCCGCUGGACAUGUAUUGACGCUGAGGUGCGAAAGCGUGGGGAGCAAACAGG